rnacentral:rRNA from 1 species
UAUUUUUAGGAAUAGCGUUAGAUUAUUGGGAAUAUGGGGGUAAAGCACUGAAUCUAUGAUGGCGCCACCUCGGUGUACUGAAUAGAAUCAAACUCUGAAUACCAUAUUACCUAUUCUAGCAGUCAGACAGUGGGGGAUAAGCUUCAUUGUCGCGAGGGAAACAGCCCAGAUCAUUAACUAAGGUCCCUAAUAUAUGCUAAGUGGAAAACGAUGUUGAGUUUCAUAAACAGCAAGGAUGUUGGCUUAGAAGCAGCCACCGUUUAAAGAGUGCGUAACAGCUCACUUGUCGAGAGACUCUGCGCGGAAGAUGUAACGGGGCUAAGCAUAUAACCGAAGUUAUGGGUUACAUAUUAUAUAUGUAGCGGUAGACGAGUGUUGUAUAUGGGGCGAAGGUAGACUGUGAAGACUACUGGACUUUAUACAAGUAAGAAUGCUGGCGUGAGUAACGAAUGAGAGUGAGAAUCUCUCAAACCGAUUGACUAAGGGUUCCUGGGCAAGGGUCGUCCUCCCAGGGUAAGUCGGAUCCUAAGGCGAGGCUGAAAAGCGUAGUCGAUGGAAAACAGGUUAAUAUUCCUGUACCUACAAAUUGUGUGAUGGAGUGACGGAGAAGGUUAUUAUGUGCCGGUUAUUGGAUUCCGGUUUAAAUAACAAGGUUAGUAAGUUGGCAAAUCCGCUUACUAUUAGGACCAAGUUAUGAAUACGAGCGACCCCUUCGGGCAGUAGCGAAGACAUAUACAUCAUGCUUCCAAGAAAAGCUUCUAGCCUUAAACAAUUGGUAGUCCGUACCGAGAACGAACACACGUGGUCAAGGAGAAUAUCCUAAGGUUAGCGAGUUAACUACAGUUAAGGAACUCUGCAAAUUAACCCCGUACGUUAGCAAUAAGGGGUGCUCGCUGUAAAAGGUGAGCCGCAGUGAAUAGCGAGGGGGGACUGUUUAACAAAAACACAGCUCUAUGCUAAGUCGUAAGACGAUGUAUAUGGGGUGACACCUGCCCAAUGCUGUAAGGUUAAAGAAGAAUGUUAGCGCAAGCGAAGCUUUUAACUGAAGCCCCAGUGAAUGGCGGCCGUAACUAUAACGGUCCUAAGGUAGCGAAAUUCCUUGUCGGGUAAAUUCCGUCCCGCUUGAAUGGUGUAACCAUCUCUUGACUGUCUCAACUGUAGACUCGGUGAAAUCCUGGUGAGGGUGAAGACGCCCUCUUGGCGUGAUUGGACGGAAAGACCCCAUGAAGCUUUACUGUAGCUUAAUAUUGGGAAAUUUUAUUACUUGUAGAGCAUAGGUAGGAGACUGUGAAGUAUACUCGCUAGGGUAUAUGGAGUCAACGUUGGAAUACUACCCUUGUGAUAAGAUUUCUCUAACCUGCAGCCAUGAAUCUGGCUGGGGGACAGUGUUAGGUGGGCAGUUUGACUGGGGCG